rnacentral:rRNA from 1 species
GAUGAACGCUGGCGGCGUGCCUAAUACAUGCAAGUCGAGCGAACAGACGAGGAGCUUGCUCCUCUGACGUUAGCGGCGGACGGGUGAGUAACACGUGGAUAACCUACCUAUAAGACUGGGAUAACUUCGGGAAACCGGAGCUAAUACCGGAUAAUAUAUUGAACCGCAUGGUUCAAUAGUGAAAGACGGUUUUGCUGUCACUUAUAGAUGGAUCCGCGCCGCAUUAGCUAGUUGGUAAGGUAACGGCUUACCAAGGCAACGAUGCGUAGCCGACCUGAGAGGGUGAUAGGCCACACUGGAACUGAGACACGGUCCAGACUCCUACGGGAGGCAGCAGUAGGGAAUCUUCCGCAAAGGGCGAAAGCCUGACGGAGCGACGCCGCGUGAGUGAUGAAGGUCUUCGGAUCGUAAAACUCUGUUAUUAGGGAAGAACAAAUGUGUAAGUAACUAUGCACGUCUUGACGGUACCUAAUCAGAAAGCCACGGCUAACUACGUG